rnacentral:lncRNA from 12 species
AUGGGUAGGAGUGGGCGAGGAAUCUUUUUCUUUAUUUUCUCUCUUUUCUUUUCUUUCUUUUUUUCUUUUAUUUUCCUUUUCAUUUCCUGUCCUUUCCUGUCCUUUUUGUCUUUCUUUUUUAAGCAUGGACAGCCUGGUCCGAGUGUGCAAAGCUGUGGCUUCCCCUCCUGUGGAUGCCUUCUGAACAGCAGAUCUGACUUCCUCCUCAAACCAAGGCAUCCUGAAAACAUCCAAGCAGAGGAAGCAUUUUUUCACCAUGACAUGGGAAAGGGCCAUAGAGAUCCAAAUGGAAACGGACAUUUCAUAGUGUGUUUCACAAUGACAGAAGACGGGAUGAUAAAGUUAGAUGUUACAGACAUACAGAUGAAUUUUCUGCGGCAAAUCUGCACCUUGCAGAGGAAGUUACUUGGCCUCCAUCUCAAAUGUCAGACCACCUGGGAUAUGCAGCUGUCGGGCUGAAAGGGGAGCUGCCUGGGACUGGCCCCGGCCUGCUCAUCAAGGAGAUACUGUCACCAGCCAGCAGGCAAUGCUAGGUGCACAGGGGUGCCAGCACCGCCGAAAGCCAGAGAUACGCCUGGCUCAGGAUUUGAGAUUUUUAAGG